rnacentral:rRNA from 1 species
AUGGUGCUGCAAGUUCGUGUCAGACGGCGUGCGGUGGCAGCAGCUGCGGAGCCGGGCUGGUCAAUCAUUUCCGCGCGCUCACAGAGAUCUGGUAAGUUUGCCGCUCGUUCUCCUACUAUGGGAAUACUUGGCUCCUGCCCUGCUUCGCCUAUCUCGCCAUCUUCGGAAUCUUCCCUGAUGUGUUCUUUGGUGUCGCUGGCUGGUGCGCUGUCCACGGUGGCGGCGCCGCCGCCUGAGGUUGUACUGCCUGCAAAAACCCUAGUUGGAUCUCAGGAGGACAAGAACAAUGGUAAUGUAACCUUUAUAUGGGUUGAUAAGUUCAAUAUUUGGGUAGAUAUGUGGUCUCUGCUGGAGAUUAACUUGUCUCGUAGAGUUUUUACUUGGGCUAAUAAUCCGGAGAAUAUGAUCAUGUCUAAAAUUGAUAGGAUUUUUUGUUCAACCGAAUUUGAUGCUUGUUUCCCACUGGCUAGUUCCAGGGCCUUGCCUAUAGUGGGUAGUGACCAUACUCCCCUUGUUUGGGAAUCUGGAGAAGGCCAGUAUACUAGUAAGAAGAGUUUUAAAUUUGAGAAGUGGUGGAUAACUAGGAGUGACUUUAAAGAUAUAGUGAUUAAAGCCUGGACUAGUACUUGCAAUAGUGUGAAUCCGGUUGAUGUUUGA